rnacentral:rRNA from 1 species
UACGGGGGGGGGCAAGCGUUGUUCGGAAUUACUGGGCGUAAAGGGCUCGUAGGCGGCCAACUAAGUCGGAUGUGAAAUCCCACGGCUCAACCGUGGAAGUGCAUUCGAAACUGCAGGGCUAGAGUCCUGGAGAGGAAGGUGGAAUGCUUGGUGUAGAGGUGAAAUUCGUAGAUAUCAAGCGGAACACCGGUGGCGAAGGCGGCCUUCUGGACAGUGACUGGACGCUG